GGACAAAGUGCAGCCGCCUUGCUGAGCUCUUCUGCCACCCCGGAAGUCGUUACCUUUAUUUUCCUGCAGACUUUCUAUGAUGAAAACCACCCCGUUCCAUAGAAGUGAGCCAUAUUCCAAUGGCUAAGUCUUACUGUCACUAAAGUAAAAUUCUCUGCAACUGCAAAGAAACUAGGACUCUGAUGUCACUCAAAGGGGACAAUGACCACAAAAGAAGGAUCGUGAUUUUGCUCCUAAGCAGAAAUAUUCUCGUUCCAUGUCGAAAUGGGAGAUGCUAUCUAUAUGACUGCAAUUCAAGAGGUGGAGCUCCAGAAGCACCAGAAAGCUUGGAAUUUUUUAUACCAGCAUUACCACAGUAACAGGCCAGUUACGUAUGGCACAUGGACACAGAACUCCGUCUUUGCCUCUGGUCACAGCUAAGCCCACAG